rnacentral:tRNA from 1 species
GGUUAUGGCUCAGGGGCAGAGCGCUUGCCUAGCACAUGUGAGGCACUGGGUUCGAUCCUCAGCACCA